CCAUGGCAACCACAUCACGAGAGUUCAACUCCGAAAGGCAGAACGAAUGAUGGCGUUCUUUUGUAGCUGAAGAACAAGAGAUUCAGAUGAUGCUGCUAUCCCAAGUGUUUCUGGGUGUGGUGUUAAUCAGAGUAGCAUCUACAGGAUGUACACAAAUUUGUAUGCUCCUGUGGAUGGUCAGGACGACGAUGAUGAUGAUAAUGAGAAUGAAGACAUUGCUGCUGGCGGAAGUCAUGAAUUUUUAGGGAAUGUAGAGGAGACAAAUUGUGUGACAGCUGCUGAAGUAAUUGGGAACUUAUCACUUGGCAUAAAUCACACAAAUGUCAGCAGAUUUAACAUCACCAGAUCAAAUGUUUGGGAUGGAGCUGUCAGAGGAUUCAACUGCAGCUCCUACUCGCCAAACAAUGACAUGUUUGUGAAGUUCACAGACGAUGCUGGACAGUUUGAAGAUGGUAUCGAUACAGGUGGACCAAGGAGGGAAUUUCUUACAAUAUUGAUGGGUCAUUUAAAGGAACGUCCAAUUUUUGAUGGCCCUCCACUGAGCCGUUACCUUGUAUACAAUUCUGCCAGUGUGUAUGCAGUCACUUUCAUUUUAAUCAAUACUACAAGGUUGCAAAAAUUAGGGUUUAACAAUCAAGCCUUGCUUUAAGAUACCUGUAUUCUAAAACCAAGGUGACAUUGAGACAUUUGUGUUGUAUUUUGUAACAGCUGUCAGGGACGAUGAGUAUUUCUUGGCAGGGAGAAUGAUUGCGGUAUCAAUAGUUCAUG